GUCGAGAAUAAUUCACAAUGGACGAAAGUCUGAUGGUGCAACGCCGCGUGGAGGAUGAAGGUCUUCGGAUUGUAAACUCCUGUCAUCGGGGAGUAAGACCUGGCGGUAAAUAGCCGACAGGGUUGAUAGUACCCGAAGAGGAAGGGACGGCUAACUUCGUGCCAGCAGCCGCGGUAAUACGAAGGUCCCAAGCGUUGUUCGGAAUCACUGGGCGUAAAGGGAGCGUAGGCGGCGUGGUAAGUCAGAUGUGAAAUCCCGGGGCUCAACCCCGGAACUGCAUCCGGUACUGCCAUGCUUGAGGGUUGGAGAGGUAGCUGGAAUUCUCGGUGUAGCAGUGAAAUGCGUGGAUAUCGAGAGGAACACUCGUGGCGAAGGCGAGCUACUGGACAACAUCUGACGCUGAGGCUCGAAGGCCAGGGGAGCAAAAGGGAUUAGAAACCCUAGUAGUCC
rnacentral:rRNA from 1 species